AGAUACAUGUCACUGUUGGAGCC
rnacentral:piRNA from 1 species